AAUAAUUUAUUUGAUGGUCACUUACUACAUGGAUAGCUGUAGUAAUUCUAGAGCUAAUACAUGCGUAAAAUCUCGACUCUAGCGGGGAGAGAUGUAUUUAUUAGAUAAAAAACCAAUGCGGGUUCUGCCCGGUUUUGUGGUGAAUCAUAGUAACUUUUCGAAGCGCAUGGCUUCACGCCAGCGCUAGUUCAUUCAAAUUUCUGCCCUAUCAGCUUUCGACGGUAGUGUAGUGGACUACCGUGGCAUUAACGGGUAACGGAGAAUUAGGGUUCGAUUCCGGAGAGGGAGCCUGAGAAACGGCUACCACA
rnacentral:rRNA from 1 species